rnacentral:lncRNA from 1 species
AUUUUGGAGGGGAACCCAAAUUGCCCAGGCAGUGGAUAAACUAUACGAUACUUCAGUGCACAAACUUCUUUCCGUCUUUUAAAGCCACAAAGCUUGUCUCUCAUCCUCACAAAAAAAAAUCCCAUCAGCAUUGACAGUAAAAUAAAAGGGGGUUGGCAAUAUGAGCACACUGGGACGUUGCGCACAAUAUUGCGACACGCUGCUACGUCUGGGUGAUUUGGGUACCCCAAAGUUAGCUACUGUAUA